AAGGAUCAUUACUGAGUUAAUUGCGUCGAAAGACGCAGACUUCUCCCAUACACUUGUGAACUUUGUACUCUUGCUUUGCGUAUACAAAGCAGAGUGCGAGGAUUUAAUUUAAACUCUGUGCUAAACUAAUGCAGUCGAAAUCAAAUUUAUAAAAAAUUGAAUCAAAACUUUCAACAACGGAUCUCUUGGUUCUCGCAUCGAUGAAGAACGCAGCGAAAUGCGAUAAUUAGUGUGAAUUGCAGAAUUCAGUGAAUCAUCGAGUUUUUGAACGCACAUUGCGCCUUCUGGUAUUCCAGAGGGCAUGCCUGUUUGAGCGUCAGUUCUCUCUCAAACCUUUGGUUUGGUAUUGGGUAGAUAUAUGCAUAUACAUUUUGGAAUGCAUUAGCCCAAAAACAAUUGGCAAGGCGUUUUCUGUCUGGAUCAACGUACUAGGUUUUACCGUCGUUGCCCAUCAGGAAAGAAAGUCUGGCCUUAUAACCAAAACUUUUUUAAGUGUUUGACCUCAAAUCAGGUAGG
rnacentral:rRNA from 1 species